GAUGAACGCUGGCGGCGUGCCUAAUACAUGCAAGUCGAGCGAACGGACGAGAAGCUUGCUUCUCUGAUGUUAGCGGCGGACGGGUGAGUAACACGUGGAUAACCUACCUAUAAGACUGGGAUAACUUCGGGAGACCGGAGCUAAUACCGGAUAAUAUUUUGAACCGCAUGGUUUAAAAGUGAAAGACGGUCUUGCUGUCACUUAUAGAUGGAUCCGCGCUGCAUUAGCUAGUUGGUAAGGUAACGGCUUACCAAGGCAACGAUGCAUAGCCGACCUGAGAGGGUGAUCGGCCACACUGGAACUGAGACACGGUCCAGACUCCUACGGGAGGCAGCAGUAGGGAAUCUUCCGCAAUGGGCGAAAGCCUGACGGAGCAACGCCGCGUGAGUGAUGAAGGUCUUCGGAUCGUAAAACUCUGUUAUUAGGGAAGAACAUAUGUGUAAGUAACUGUGCACAUCUUGACGGUACCUAAUCAGAAAGCCACGGCUAACUACGUG
rnacentral:rRNA from 1 species